rnacentral:rRNA from 1 species
AGAGUUUGAUCCUGGCUCAGGACGAACGCUGGCGGCGUGCUUAACACAUGCAAGUCGAGCGGAGAUGUAGAUAAGCUUGCUUAGAUACAUUUUAGCGGCGGACGGGUGAGUAACACGUGGGUAAUCUGGCCUUUAGAGGGGGAUAACACAGAGAAAUCUGUGCUAAUACCGCAUAACACUGAUAGGUUGCAUAACAUAUCAGUCAAAGGAGAAAUCUGCUAAAGGAUGAGCCCGCGGCCCAUUAGCUAGUUGGUGGGGUAAAGGCCUACCAAGGCGACGAUGGGUAGCCGACCUGAGAGGGUGAUCGGCCACAUUGGGACUGAGACACGGCCCAGACUCCUACGGGAGGCAGCAGUGGGGAAUAUUGCACAAUGGGGGAAACCCUGAUGCAGCAACGCCGCGUGAGUGAAGAAGGCCUUCGGGUUGUAAAGCUCUGUCUUUGGGGAAGAAAAUGACGGUACCCAAGGAGGAAGCCACGGCUAACUACGUGCCAGCAGCCGCGGUAAUACGUAGGUGGCGAGCGUUGUCCGGAAUUAUUGGGCGUAAAGGGUGCGUAGGCGGCUCUUUAAGUGAGAUGUGAAAUCCCGAGGCUUAACCUCGGAGCUGCAUUUCAAACUGGGGAGCUGGAGUGCAGGAGAGGAAAGUGGAAUUCCUAGUGUAGCGGUGAAAUGCGUAGAGAUUAGGAGGAACACCAGUGGCGAAGGCGGCUUUCUGGACUGCAACUGACGCUGAGGCACGAAAGUGUGGGGAGCAAACAGGAUUAGAUACCCUGGUAGUCCACACUGUAAACGAUGGAUACUAGGUGUAGGAGGCGGAGCCUUCUGUGCCGGAGUUAACACAAUAAGUAUCCCGCCUGGGGAGUACGAUCGCAAGAUUAAAACUCAAAGGAAUUGACGGGGGCCCGCACAAGCGGAGGAACAUGUGGUUUAAUUCGAUGAUACGCGAGGAACCUUACCCAGGCUUAAAUUGCAGAUGAAUAUAGUGGAAACAUUAUAGCCUUCGGGCAUCUGUGAAGGUGCUGCAUGGUUGUCGUCAGCUCGUGCCGUGAGGUGUCGGCUUAAGUGCCAUAACGAGCGCAACCCUUAUUGAUAGUUACUAACAGGUUAAGCUGAGGACUCUAUCGAGACUGCCGUCGUAAGAUGCGAGGAAGGUGGGGAUGACGUCAAAUCAGCACGGCCCUUACGUCUGGGGCUACACACGUGUUACAAUGGGGGGUACAGAAGGUCGCUACCUGGCAACAGGAUGCUAAUCCCAAAAGCCUCUCUCAGUUCGGAUUGGAGUCUGCAACCCGACUCCAUGAAGCUGGAUUCGCUAGUAAUCGCGCAUCAGCCACGGCGCGGUGAAUACGUUCCCGGGCCUUGUACACACCGCCCGUCAAGCCAUGGGAGCCGGGGGUACCUGAAGUACGUAACCGCAAGGAGCGUCCUAGGGUAAAACUGGUGACUGGGGCUAAGUCGUAACAAGGUAGCC